UCAAAGAGCGCGUUGAAGUUCGAGAGCGUGGAGAAGGGCGAGACUCAGGUGGUUUCCGGCACCAAUUACCGGCUGAUCUUGGUCGUCAAGGACGGACCUUCGACCAAGAAAUUUGAAGCUGUCGUUUGGGAGAAGCCGAGGGAGCAUUUCAAGAGUCUCACCUCGUUUAAGCCUUUUAAGCCUAUGGUUGGGGGAUGGAAGCCGAUAGAGGACCUCAAGGAGAAGCACGUGAUGGAGAUCGGGCAGUUCGCGGUGACGGAGUACAACAAACGGUCAAAGAGCACGUUGAAGUUCGAGAGCGUGGAGAAGGGCGAGACUCAGGUGGUUUCCGGCACCAAUUACCGGCUGAUCUUGGUCGUCAAGGACGGACCUUCGACCAAGAAAUUUGAAGCUGUCGUUUGGGAGAAGCCAUGGGAGCAUUUCAAGAGUCUCACCUCGUUUAAGCCUUUUAAGCCUAUGGUUGGGGGAUGGAAGCCGAUAGAGGACCCCAAGGAGAAGCAUGUGAUGGAGAUCGGCCAGUUCGCGGUGACGGAGUACAACAAACGGUCAAAGAGCGCGUAAAAGUUCGAGAGCGUGGAGAAGGGCGAGACUCAGGUGGUUUCCGGCACCAAUUACCGGUUGAUCUUGGUCGUCAAGGACGGACCUUCGACCAAGAAAUUUGAAGCUGUCGUUUGGGAGAAGCCAUGGGAGCAUUUCAAGAGUCUCACCUCGUUUAAGCCUUUUAAGCCUAUGGUUGGGGGAUGGAAGCCGAUAGAGGACCCCAAGGAGAAGCAUGUGAUGGAGAUCGGCCAGUUCGCGGUGACGGAG
rnacentral:lncRNA from 1 species